rnacentral:rRNA from 1 species
AGUGAACGCUGGCGGUAGGCCUAACACAUGCAAGUCGAACGGCAGCACAGUAAGAGCUUGCUCUUACGGGUGGCGAGUGGCGGACGGGUGAGGAAUACAUCGGAAUCUACUUUUUCGUGGGGGAUAACGUAGGGAAACUUACGCUAAUACCGCAUACGACCUACGGGUGAAAGCAGGGGAUCUUCGGACCUUGCGCGAUUGAAUGAGCCGAUGUCGGAUUAGCUAGUUGGCGGGGUAACGGCCCACCAAGGCGACGAUCCGUAGCUGGUCUGAGAGGAUGAUGAGGCACACUGGAACUGAGACACGGUCCAGACUCCUACGGGAGGCAGCAGUGGGGAAUAUUGGACAAUGGGCGCAAGCCUGAUCAAGCCAUACCGCGUGGGUGAAGAAGGCCUUCGGGUUGUAAAGCCCUUUUGUUGGGAAAGAAAAGCAGCAGGUUAAUACCCCGCUGUUCUGACGGUACCCAAAGAAUAAGCACCGGCUAACUUCGUG